rnacentral:rRNA from 1 species
UACGUAGGGGGCAAGCGUUGUCCGGAAUCAUUGGGCGUAAAGCGCGUGUAGGCGGCUAGGUAAGUCUGCUCUGAAAGCCCGGGGCUCAACCCCGGGAGGCGGGUGGAUACUGUCUAGCUAGAGUCCGGAAGAGGAGAGUGGAAUUCCUGGUGUAGCGGUGAAAUGCGCAGAUAUCAGGAAGAACACCCGUGGCUAAGGCGGCUCUCUAGUACGGUACUGACGCUGAGACGCGAAAGCGUGGGGAGCAAACAGG